UCAAAUAAACAUAGAUUUCCCAGUGUAAUAGUAAUGUCGACGACACGACCAGGCACUCCGAAGAAAAAUCGAAAUAAAACGUGUCUGUUAGCGAUUCACCACCAGUUACCACAAAUAUAGCGACCCCUUGAUAAUGAUAAAAAUAUUCUUCUCGAGCAACACUGUUUAAGUUGCUACGAACUAGUUACCUAGGAACCCCGAAUAAAUAAACAAAACUAAGUUGAGGAACAGUUAAAAUUAUUUAACUUUUGGUCCCUCAUUACCACUUUAUAAGAGUAACUUAAUAAUGUAGAACGUGCAAAUGUUACAGCCAUCAUGAGUGCAAGCUGUAAUAAAACUCAUCGUAUUCGGAAAUGAUCUUAGAGUUGGACAUGUACGGCACAAGGGCGAUAUACUAGAAAAGGGCGAUAUUCCCUAGAAAAACAUUUGCCAAAGUUCAUUUGUCUGAUAAAAUUUUGCCAAUACAAUGAAUAAAUGAGAAUUGAAGGAUUCGCUUAAAAA